AACGUAGGGGACAAGCGUUAUCCGGAUUUACUGGGCGUAAAGCGCCCGUAGGCGGCUUUGUAAGUUGGACGUGAAAGCUCCCGGCUUAACUGGGAGAGGCCGUUCAAAACUGUAGAGCUAGAGUGAGGCAGAGGAGUGCGGAAUUCCCGGUGUAGUGGUGGAAUGCGUAGAUAUCGGGAGGAACACCAGUGGCGAAGGCGACUACCUGGCCUGUUCUUGACGCUGAGGCGCGAAAGCUAGGGGAGCAAACGGGG
rnacentral:rRNA from 1 species